CGAGUAAGCUGUGCGGACGAGGUGCGUAACCGUCUUAGGCGGGUACAGUGCUUAGGAAAGUCCGGGCACCAAAGGGCAAGGAUAGCUGCUAACGGCAGCCGAGGGCGACCUCAGGGCAAGUGCAACAGAGAUAUACCGCCGAUUUUUCGGUAAGGAUGGAAAGGCGAGGUAAGAGCUCACCCGCCGCUCCGAGAGAGAG
rnacentral:RNase_P_RNA from 1 species